AUUUACUUAAAAUCUUCGUUACAGAAUAUUUCAUUAUUCAUUUCUGACGAGUGGGGUAAUCUUAUCUAACCAGAUGUUGUUGCUUUCGUUUUUCACAGGUGGUUAUACUUCUGCUCCAGGAUCAUUUAUAUUUUCUCUUCGUAAUAAACAGGACCUUGCGCCUUUCAAAGCCCCACUAAAAUCUGAGAAUGACAAUAAGGCAAUUUACCGUAGUAUCCAUUAUGGUCCAACAUUUGGGAAUGGUCAUGACCUCAAAGUUUCCGGCGGUGCGGCAUCAAACACCAACUCCUUCACAAAUUUUGGUCAAAGCUAUCAACCUCCACCAGGAUACAAUCAAACUAACACACGCUAUUACUUCACUCCUUCAGAAGUUGAAGUUCUAUAUUUAGAUUGAAACUGUCCAUACGUACUUCAACGUAAAUAAUUUUGGCAAACAAGCCAUACGCCUAUUGCAUGUUUGAACUGGAAUAAGUAUAAACAAUUAUUAGUGCAGACACUGCGGUGUAGAACGGACUUGAUUGGAGCUGGUAUAUUCAAAAUCCUUUGUUUAUUGUACUUUAUAAAUCACAUUUGUAUAGUGUGUAAUUAGUUUAAUUAAUUAGAAGAACAAUAGGCUAAAAAUGUUAGUAUUAGUGGAAAAGAACACCGUUUUUGCAAUUCGCAUGCAUUGCCUUAAGGCCGUUUUCCACUAGGCGGAAUUUUCCGCGCGGAGCGGAAUUCUUCUUUGUCUUGUGAUUUCUCGGGUGGAACUAAUUAGAAAAGACAAAGGGAAAUUCCACUCCGAGAGAAACAUUCCGUUUAGUUGUAAACGGCAUUUACACUCUCACAAAUAGACAAUUAUACUGUAGUUUUUAAGCACUGUAUAUAUUUAAAUGUUAAAUAAAGAAGUUAAAAACGAAUAUGUUAAUUUGCUCACGGGACGCCACCAAGCA